CACGGGGGGAGCAAGCGUUGUUCGGAAUCACUGGGCGUAAAUGGCGUGUAGGCGGUCAGGUAAGUGGGAUGUGAAAUGCCCCGGCUCACCCGGGGACCGGCAUCCCAUACUGCUUGGCUUGAGUACGGGAGAGGAUGUGGGAAUUCCUGGUGUAGCGGUGAAAUGCGUAGAUAUCAGGAGGAACACCGGUGGCGAAGGCGCACAUCUGGCCCGAUACUGACGCUGAGGCGCGAAAGCUAGGGGAGCAAACGGG
rnacentral:rRNA from 1 species